CCGCCCCGCCGCGCGUGCGCGUAGACGCCGCUGAGCCCUGACGGUGCGAGCCUGGAAGCUGCUAACCCGACCUGGAUUGGCGCUGAGGUGGCCAGCGGGGCAGGGCAGAUGAUUCUGGACCAGAUGAAGCCUGAGGAGCCUUCCAACUCUAAGAUAGCAGGAUAGGAGACUUCAAAGACUGGAGCUGCGGAAGAGUUGCUAGCCCUCAGCGCAAUGUCAGGAAGCCAUACACCUUCUGCCUGUGGCCCUUUCUCAGCCCUGACUCCGAGCAUAUGGCCCCAGGAGACCUUGGCCAAGUACAUGCAGAAGGAAGAGUCAGCAGAGCAACCAGAGUUCUACUACGAUGAGUUUGGUUUCCGGGUGGACAAGGAAGAAGGUGGUGAGCCUGGUUCUAGUCCACUGGCGAGCUCCCCUCUGAUGGAGGAUGCUCCGCAGAGGCUGCGGUGGCAGGCCCACCUGGAGUUUACCCAUAACCACGACGUGGGGGAUCUCACCUGGGACAAGAUUGCAGUCUCCCUACCCCGCUCUGAGAAGCUCCGCUCCCUGGUGCUGGCUGGCAUCCCACAUGGCAUGAGGCCACAGCUAUGGAUGCGGCUCUCUGGAGCCCUGCAGAAGAAGAAGAACUCUGAGCUGUCCUAUCGCGAGAUUGUGAAGAACAGCUCCAACGAUGAGACCAUUGCUGCCAAACAGGGUGUCACAAGGUCUUGUCGUUGUGGGUGCUGGUGGCUGCCUGACAGAUCGAGAAGGACCUGCUCCGCACCAUGCCCAGCAACGCCUGCUUCGCCAGCAUGGGCAGCAUCGGGGUGCCCCGUCUGCGCAGGGUGCUCCGGGCCCUAGCCUGGCUCUACCCAGAGAUUGGCUACUGCCAGGGCACGGGCAUGGUAGCCGCCUGCCUCUUGCUGUUUCUGGAGGAGGAGGAUGCCUUCUGGAUGAUGUGCGCCAUUGUUGAGGACCUGCUCCCCGCCUCCUACUUCAGCACGACCCUGCUAGGCGUCCAGACUGACCAGCGCGUCCUGCGCCACCUCAUCGUCCAGUACCUGCCUCGUCUGGACAAACUGCUCCAAGAGCAUGACAUCGAGCUGUCCCUGAUCACGCUGCACUGGUUCCUCACGGCCUUCGCCAGCGUGGUAGACAUCAAGCUGCUACUGCGAAUCUGGGACCUGUUUUUCUACGAGGGCUCCCGGGUGCUGUUCCAGCUCACACUGGGCAUGCUGCACCUCAAGGAGGAAGAGCUGAUACAGUCAGAGAACUCAGCCUCCAUCUUCAACACACUCUCGGAUAUCCCAUCGCAGAUGGAGGAUGUGGAGCUGCUUCUCGGGGUGGCCAUGCGGCUGGCUGGCUCCCUCACCGAUGUGGCCGUGGAGACCCAGCGCCGCAAGCACCUGGCCUAUCUCAUUGCAGACCAGGGCCAGCUGCUGGGGGCUGGUGCCCUCACCAACCUCUCUCAGGUGGCCCAGGAUGGGGAGCCCCACCUGGGCCCACGGCAUGCAGUGGGGAGGGGUCACCUUGAGGAAGCUCAGAGUAUGAGGGCUGUGGGAAAUGGACCAGCCCUUCCUGUUCUGCCCCCCGAGCCUGGCACCAGGGGCCCAGUCAGACCACAGCUGUGGGGUGACCCAGUCCUCCUUGGGCUUUGUGUGUCUCGGGUUCUGCCCCUGGUUUGGGAAGAGGGCAUUCCUUUCUCAACUGUCGGAGCCGGCCUCAGGCCAUUUCAGAUGAGAGAGCAUAAGCGGAGGGUGGUGGGUUCUCUUCCGCCCAGGGGCCCGGGCCGCCCUGACUCACUCCCCGUGGUGCAGGUUGUUCGCCGCAGGACCCAGCGGAGAAAGUCCACCAUCACUGCCCUGCUCUUCGGGGAGGAUGACCUGGAGGCGCUCAAGGCCAAGAACAUCAAGCAGACGGAACUGGUAGCCGACCUCCGGGAAGCCAUCCUGCGCGUGGCCCACCACUUCCAGUGCACAGACCCCAAAAAUUGCAACGUGGAGCUGACCCCAGACUACAGCAUGGAGAGCCACCAGCGGGACCAUGAGAACUACGUGGCGUGUUCACGCAGCCACCGGCGCCGAGCCAAGGCCCUGCUGGACUUUGAGCGGCAUGACGACGACGAGCUGGGCUUCCGCAAGAAUGACAUCAUCACAAUCGUGUCUCAGAAGGACGAGCACUGCUGGGUAGGGGAGCUGAACGGCCUGCGAGGCUGGUUUCCAGCCAAGUUCGUGGAAGUCCUGGAUGAGCGCAGCAAAGAGUACUCCAUCGCGGGGGACGACUCAGUGACUGAGGGGGUCACAGACCUUGUGCGAGGGACCCUUUGCCCAGCCCUUAAGGCCCUGUUUGAACAUGGACUGAAGAAGCCAUCCCUGCUUGGGGGUGCCUGCCACCCCUGGCUGUUUAUCGAGGAGGCUGCAGGCCGGGAGGUCGAGAGAGACUUUGCCUCUGUGUAUUCCCGCCUGGUUCUCUGUAAGACCUUCAGGUUGGACGAAGAUGGCAAGGUCCUGACCCCGGAGGAGCUGCUCUACCGGGCUGUGCAGUCUGUGAACGUGACCCACGAUGCAGUGCACGCACAAAUGGAUGUGAAGCUCCGCUCACUGAUCUGCGUGGGGCUCAAUGAGCAGGUGCUGCACCUGUGGCUGGAGGUGCUCUGCUCCAGCCUGCCCACAGUGGAGAAGUGGUACCAGCCCUGGUCCUUCCUGCGCAGCCCGGGCUGGGUCCAGAUCAAGUGUGAGCUCCGAGUCCUCUGCUGCUUUGCCUUCAGCCUCUCCCAGGACUGGGAGCUCCCUGCAAAGAGAGAGAAAGUACUGGCUGGCUUCAGAUCCAAGGUCUGGCACUGCCUGGCCGCUCAGAUGUGGGACACAACAGGCCCAGGACCCAGCUAUGCCACCCACCCCUUCUAUGGACUGAAUAAGUUGGACUGUCAGGCCUGUGUUUUUGUUUUUAUUUUAAAAAGUUCACACACCUUCCCCGUGUUUGUUCCAGCACUGGUUUUGGUGACUCCAUCCCUACUCCCCUACGAGUCAGGCCAGAAUGCAAAGCCAGUGGCCCCAGGGCAGGUCGCCACAACGCCACCUCUCAGCCCCACAGCGGGGUGAAGCUGGGCCCAAAUCCCCUCCUGUCCCAGGGCCACAUUGGCUACAGUGAGGCGGUGGGGACGGAAUGUGAGUGGGUAGAGAGCUCCUGGCAGGAAGGCCAGGAAGCACCUCUGCCCUCGUGGCACUGAUAAAGAGCCAGAAAGCAGGGCAGGUGGGGCACAGACUGGCAGGGUGUCUACAUGUCAACCACACGUGAUGGGUAGGCCUGGGUAGCUGCAUGCCAGGCUGGGCACCAGCCUGGCACACAGCUGAAGGGUAACCCUGCAUCCAGCCUCCAGGAGCUAUGGCCUUCCAGGCCCUUUUGUGAAAGUAGGAUGGGAGAGAGUGGCACCCAUCUCCUUCCCCCCAAAAAUAUGUCUAUAUGUAUGUCGAUAUAUAAUAGAGGUAUAUACACUUGUACAGAAAAUUUUUGCCACCAACCACUAAAUGGUUACAUUACACCAAGACACUAAAAUGGCUGGGAGCCCUGGGACCCUGGGGUUGGCAGACAUCGGGAAUGGGGGUGGGUAGCAGCCCAGGCUAAUUUCUCCCUUCAGAGCAAAGCGGGGAAGAGAAAGGAAGGAGAUUCACCCCUUGACCUGUCUCAGCCCUGGGCCAGAAGAGAAGCAUCCUGGCUGGGCUUUACCUACCUUAGCCAAAUUGUAGCCAGUAGGCCUGAACCAGGAGUAGGGGCUUCUCUGUUCCAGUCUCCCAGGGAAGGGAAAAAGCAGGGGCUGUGAUUGUCAAGACUCACAACCAUGUGGAGAGGCCCAAUCACGCAGGAGAGCCACGC